rnacentral:rRNA from 1 species
GACGAACGCUGGCGGCGUGCUUAAUACAUGCAAGUCGAACGGACAGGCCCUGCUUUUGCGGGGUGCUCGUGUGGCGCACGCGUGAGUAUCACGCGAGUAUCACCCCCCUGUCUUUGGGAUAACUUUACGAAACUGGGGCUCAUACCGGAUAGGAGCUAUUGCUGCACGGUGGGGGUUGGAAAGUUUCGGCGGUUCGGGAUGGACUCGCGGCAUAUCCACUUGUUGGUGGGGUAGUGGCUUACCAAGGCUUUGACGGGUAGCCGGCCUGAGAGGGUGACCGGCCACAUUGGGACUGAGAUACGGCCCAGACGCCUACGGGAGGCAGCAGUGGGGAAUAUUGCACAAUGGGCGGAAGCCUGAGGCAGCAACGCCGCGUGCGGGAUGACGGCCUUCGAGCUGUGAACCGCUUUCGCCUGUGACGAAGAGUUAGUGACGGUAAUGGGUAAAGAAGCACCGGCUAACUACGUG